GAUGAACGCUGGCGGCGUGCCUAACACAUGCAAGUCGAGCGAACGGACGAGAAGCUUGCUCCGCUGAUGUUAGCGGCGGACGGGUGAGUAACACGUGGAUAACCUACCUAUAAGACUGGGAUAACUUCGGGAAACCGUAGCUAAUACGGGAAAAUAUUUUGAACCUAAUGGUUCAAAAGUGAAAGACGGUCUUGCUGUCACUUAUAGAUGGAUCCGCGCUGCAUUAGCUAGUUGGUAAGGUAACGGCUUACCAAGCUGACGAUGCAUAGCCGACCUCAAAGGGUGGACGAGCAGACUGGAUCUGAGACUCGGCCCAGACACCGGCAGUGAGAAGCAGUCGGAAAUCUUACGCGAUGGACGAGAGCCUGACGGAGCGAAACGGCGGAAGUGCUGAAGGUCUUAGGAUGGUAAAACUCUGUUAUUAGGGGGAAUCAUAUAUGUUAUUAACUGUGCCGAUAAUGACGGUACCUAAUCAAGAAGCCCCGGCUAACUACGUG
rnacentral:rRNA from 1 species